rnacentral:rRNA from 1 species
GAUAAACGCUAGCGGCAGGCUUAACACAUGCAAGUCGAGGGGCAGCAUAGAUUGUAGCAAUACAAUUGGUGGCGACCGGCGCACGGGUGCGUAACGCGUAUGCAACCUACCCGUCACAGGGGGAUAAUCCGGAGAAAUCUGGUCUAAUACCCCAUAACAUAUGGAUCGGCAUCGGUUCAUGUUGAAAUUUUCGGAGGUGACGGAUGGGCAUGCGUAGCAUUAGCUUGUUGGUGAGGUAACGGCUCACCAAGGCGACGAUGCUUAGGGGGACUGAGAGGUUUUCCCCCCACACUGGUACUGAGACACGGACCGGACUCCUACGGGAGGCAGCAGUGAGGAAUAUUGGUCAAUGGGCGCAAGUCUGAACCAGCCAUGCCGCGUGCAGGAUGACGGCUCUAUGAGUUGUAAACUGCUUUUGUACGAGGGUAAAGUGGGUUACGUGUAACCUUUUGAAAGUAUCGUACGAAUAAGGAUCGGCUAACUCCGUGCCAGCCGCCGCAGUAA